UAGUCGAUGGGAAACGGGUUAAUAUUCCCGUACUUCUUACAAUUGCGAUGGGGGGACGGAGAAGGCUAGGUGGGCCUGGCGACGGUUGUCCAGGUUCAAGUGCGUAGGCUUGAGAGUUAGGUAAAUCCGGCUCUUUUUAAGGCUGAGACACGACGUCGAGCACCUACGGGUGUGAAGUCAUUGAUGCCAUGCUUCCAGGAAAAGCCUCUAAGCUUCAGAUUGUAAGGAAUCGUACCCCAAACCGACACAGGUGGUCGGGUAGAGAAUACCAAGGCGCUUGAG
rnacentral:rRNA from 1 species